AAAUUAAAAUUUAAUUUUGUUUUUAUUUUUUUUUAUUAUUAAUAUAAUUUAUUUUGUUAAUUAUUUAUUUAAAAUUAAUUUAUAAUUUUUAGUUUAUUUUACUGAAGGGGAUUAUUUACAUUUUAUAUAAAAGAAUAUUUUAUUAUAGUACCUUUUGUAUCAGGGUUAAUUAAUUUUAAAAAUUUAUAUUUUUUUUCUCGAAAACUCAUGAUUUAAAUUGAUUUGUUUUUUAAUGUGUUAAAAUUAAAUGUAAAGUUAGUUUGGUUUUGAAAUGAAAUUUCGUUUGAUUUUAUAUCUAGUUAACUAAGAAUUUAAUUUAAUUAAAGAUUUUUUUUUGAUUUAUUAUUUAAUAAUUUAUUCAUUUUAAUUUCUAAAUUUAUUGGGGAUAAUCUCAAUAAUUUAUUAUAAUUUUUAUCUUUUAUAUUUUUUUUAGGUUUAGAAUUUGUUUUAAAUUAAAGUUUGUAAAAAAUUUAAGUGUUAUUUUAUUAAAUAUUUAUUUUUUUAUUAGUUUUUUUUAAUUAAUUUUGUUUAUUUUAAUAAUGAUUAAAUUAGUAAAUUUUUAAAAUAAUUAUAUAUGAAUUCGGCAAAAUUUAUUUUUCACCUGUUUAACAAAAACAUGUCCUAAAGAGUUUAAUUUUAGGUCAAGCCUGCUCAGUGAAUAAAUUUUUAAAUAGCCGCGGUAUUUUAACUGUGCUAAGGUAGCAUAAUAAUUAGUCUUUUAAUUGAAGUCUGGAAUGAAUGGUUUAAUGAAAAAAUUUCUUUAUUUAUAAUGUUUAAUUGAAUUUUAUUUUUGAUUUAAAAAGAUCAAAUGAUUAUGAGUGACGAUAAGACCCUAUAGAUCUUUAAUAUUAACUUUAUUUUAUUUUUAGUUGUUUUUUUUAAAAUAGGGAAUUAAUAUUUUUGUUGGGGUGACAUUUAAAAUUUUAAACUUUGAUUUUUUUUUACAAUUAUUUUUGGUUAAUUUGAUCCUUUAUUUUGAUAGUAAGAAAAAGAUACCUUAGGGAUAACAGCGUUAUACAAUUUGAGAGUUCUAAUCGAUAAUUGUGAUUGCGACCUCGAUGUUGGAUUAAUUUAAAGUUGUGGGGUAGGUUUUACAAUUUUAGGUCUGUUCGACCUUUAAAAAAUUACAUGAUCUGAGUUCAGACCGGCGUGAGCCAGGUUGGUUUCUAUCUUCAAUAAAUUAAAUUUAAUUAGUACGAAAGGACUUUUAAGUUGUAAAAUUUAUUU
rnacentral:rRNA from 1 species